UGGGGAAUUUUCCGCAAUGGGCGAAAGCCUGACGGAGCAAUGCCGCGUGGAGGUGGAAGGCCUACGGGUCGUCAACUUCUUUUUCUCGGAGAAGAAACAAUGACGGUAUCUGAGGAAUAAGCAUCGGCUAACUCUGUNCAG
rnacentral:rRNA from 1 species